AAGAGCUGCAUCGUACUAACACCCAGUACAGAAGGCUCAGGAUGGUAUAAUCAGUCACCAACAGGCGACUAGGAGAUUAGCCACACCCUGACUAGAGACACAGACAGAAAACAGACCAGGGAUUAUCUCUGGUACCAGCCUAGAGUGACUGCCAGAACGGAACACGUGUGUGCACAAAGUAUGAGUGUGCUAACAUUUAUCUCCAGGGGAAGGUGUGACCAAACACAAAAACCGUAAAGGAGCUAGUAACUUGGAAGACAAUUGGAACUCCAGAGAGGAUGGGAGGGGACCCAAGUUCUCUGGAUAUAACUUGAUAAUGCAGCCAGGAUGGCCUCCAAUCCUACGGUCCUCCUGCCUCUACCUCCUGAGUGCCCCCGAGACCUGCAUAUAUCAUCGUGAGAUGAAACAACUGGGUAAGGUUGGUGCUGCCUGCCUCCGAGAACCAACUGUCAUGAGUGGAAGACACAGUAAAGAUUCACUGAGGUCCAAAAGCCACCCUGGAGUCCUAGAGGUCUGCUCCUACAGUCUGGACUCAAACUUCCCAAGCCCUGGUGACUGUAAUGGUUAAGGCAUGAAGGCUGCCAGCUAUAGUGACCAUCCUGUAAUCCUCAAUUGUCCUCGAAAGAUGACUUCCAGUGAAAAGAGCCAGAACUGCCUUGAAAUAUGGUUCAUGUCAGCCGCAGGGUGAGAAGUGUUUAUGAGGGGGGCUCAAACAUCUUGUCCUACUGUGAGCAGGCUGAGAAGUCAAGGCUGAGGCAUCUACAGCCCAGAGGCAGGACUAUAAUCGCAUACAUAGGUCAUAAACCCAUGAUCACAAUUUGUUCCCGGGGCUCCUGAUGACACAGUACUAAUACACACAGCAGAGCAGGCA